AACAUUUAUGAAGACAUGAUCAAGGAGAUGACGACUUGCCGGGUAGCGCCCCGACCAACUCGAAACCACCAGAUGGGGGUCCUAUGGGUCUGAGAUCGACUCCUGAUAAUUAUUUCACAAAGAAGUUUAUAUUUUCCCUAAUCAAGAUCCAAGCAUCAAGAAACAAUUCCAUACGGUGCAAUCCAUUUUAAUUAAAGAGGCAAUGAUACAUGCUAGUGUGUAAUUAGAAGCAAAAUGCAUACAACACAUCAAGAAGUAGUACGCACACGCACAUCACAAAGAGCAAGCAAGCAAGCUCAAAAGGAAAAAUGUGUUUAGCUGGUCGAACCCAACCCCGGCAGAAAUAUCAUUUCUUUUUUCUCCAACUAGUCAUCUUACCCAGCUCUCUUCCUCUCUCUCACUGUCACUGGUAUGCAAAGCCACGAACAUAUCCAUCUCUCUCUCCGUAACUACAGAGCAGGCCGCCGCCGGCUCGAUCUGCCACUUCCGGCCAUCUCCGGCGACACCGCGGACACCCACAGAAUCCCCUCAACUCCCUCUACCAUAUACCCCCAUUUAUUUGAUCCGCCGCCGCCAAAAUCGCCGCCACCCUCAAACCCCAGCGCCGUCUGCAUCGGGUCCGAUGGGUUCACCACGGGCCGCAGCAGCAAUGGCAUCUCCCUACCUACAAACUCCUCCUGCAGAGCUGCACGCACGAGGCGUGCGACUAUGGCCGUCAGGCGUGACCAUCUUAACCGGUGCGGCUCUGGCAACAUGGCCGCUACAGACGCCCGGCUCGCCUUUGUCUACUGCUACUAGGAGUAACUAGAGUCCAAAAGAGCAGGUGUUCAUGUUCUAAGCAAAGGUGAAGAUGGAUCAAGCAAACAAAGCUGCAAAAGCAAGGCACUUGAAUAGUACCUGAUGGCAACUCAGCAUCCGACCAAAAGAGUGGAUGGGGAUGGUGGGGAGAGCUUGGUUCUCUCUUGUGCGUGUUGUGUGCUGUAGAGGAAGUCAAAGGUGAAAGGAGGAGGCUGCUAUUUAUAGUAGUGUAGGGUGCUAGGUCGGUUUGGUAAAAGAGAGAUGUGGCUGACAUGCCUGGUUGCAUGAGCAUGCAAGCCUCCACAUGUAAUCAUGUGAGUUGUACAACGGACAAGUGUAUAGUGCAUGGUUGGACACGAGUUGGCAUAUACUUUGUGUGUAAGGAAUGAGACAAGGGCCUAAUUGUAAAUCUGCAAACUAUAAGGGAGUUGGAGAAGAACCAAUGUACAUGGCUAAAUACUAA